GACGAACGCUGGCGGCGUGCCUAAUACAUGCAAGUAGAACGCUGAAGGUGGGGCUUGCUUCUCCGGAUGAGUUGCGAACGGGUGAGUAACGCGUAGGUAACCUGCCUGGUAGCGGGGGAUAACUAUUGGAAACGAUAGCUAAUACCGCAUAAGAGUAGAUGUCGCAUGACAUUUGCUUAAAAGGUGCAACUGCACCACUACCAGAUGGACCUGCGGUGUAUUAGAUAGUUGGUGAGGUAACGGCUCACCAAGGCAACGAUUCAUAUCCUAGCAGAGAGGGGGAGCGGCCACAAAGGGACUGGAUAACGGCCCAAUCACCUCCGGGUGGCAACAAUAGAGAACCUUGGGGAAUGGACGGAGAACAUGACAAGAAUCGCCGCAUGAGUGAGGAAGGUGUGCGGAUCGUAAAGCGCGGUUUUAAGAGAAGAACGAGUGUUAGAGUGGAAAGUUCACGCUGUGACGGUAUCUUACCAGAAAGAGACGGCUAACUACGUG
rnacentral:rRNA from 1 species